GACGAACGCUGGCGGCGUGCUUAACACAUGCAAGUCGAACGGAAAGGCCCUGCUUUUGUUGGGUGCUCGAUUGGCGAACGGGUGAGUAACACGUGAGUAACCUGCCCUUGACUUUGGGAUAACUUCAGGAAACUGGGGCUAAUACCGGAUAGGAGCUCCUGCUGCAUGGUGGGGGUUGGAAAGUUUCGGCGGUUGGGGAUGGACUCGCGGCUUAUCAGCUUGUUGGUGGGGUAGUGGCUUACCAAGGCUUUGACGGGUAGCCGGCCUGAGAGGGUGACCGGCCACAUUGGGACUGAGAUACGGCGCAGACUCCUACGGGAGGCAGCAGUGGGGAAUAUUGCACAAUGGGCGGAAGCCUGAUGCAGCAACGCCGCGUGCGGGAUGACGGCCUUCGGGUUGUAAACCGCUUUCGCAUGUGACGAAGCGUGAGUGACGGUAAUGGGUAAAGAAGCACCGGCUAACUACGUG
rnacentral:rRNA from 1 species